GCAGAAAUCAAAGUCCAAGGUGCAAUUGAUUAGAGGGUAAUAGGGCAUCGACCCUAUAAUCUUCCUUCUCUUUUCCUUUUUUUUUUUUUUCUUUUUUUUCUUCAUUCUUAGAAAAGACUAUAAUCUAAGAAUCGUUCUUGUACUUCGGUUAGAUGUAUUCAAAUUAUUAUCAAGAAAAUGUCUUUUAAUAGAUGCGGGGCAAGAAAAUAUGAUCAAGAUGAAGACUAUAAGAACAGAUCUAAAAUAAUUAGAUCUGUUCUUAAGGCUGGAUGGAAGUUUGUAGGUAUGUGGAAGAGAUUGUGGUAUAGAAUCAGAAUGAGCAAUCUCCACAUUUAGUUUCACAUUAGUUAUGUCAAUAAUAGAUAUUUUUAUGUUGAUAUUGCGUUGGCUAUAAUUUUCAGAUUAGCUUUACCAUGCUGGAUUCAAAUCAUGUGUUCCAUUAUACCCGUUCCCACCAAUAAAAAAGCGAACGAUUUGAACACGUAGAAACUAAAGAUUUUACUCGUUAAUCUUUAUUUCAUUAAUUUUAGUUUCUCUUUUUUAAUCAUAAAUCAUAAAUAAUUUCCUCUUGUAAUCUUCCUUCUUCAACAUUGAAAAGAUGAAACGAACAGCCGCAGCUUGUCAACGUUCAUAGCAUAGGCAGCGGCACUGCGGCAGCGGCUUGCCGCCGGCAAAAUACAUCGGCCAUGAACAUGGCGGAGCUGGCAACGAAGCUUGUGACAAUGACGUCAUUCCUUUGACCUCCCUUGAUAGAAAGGUUCGUCUAAAGAACCGAGAAGACGCUAAAAGGGAAGAAUUGAAGAAGGUGAAGCAGGGUUGACAUUUCUGACAGAAGACAUUUGGUUUUAAUGGGACACUUUGGCUUAACAAAUGUGUAGAGGAUAAUAGUGUAAGAGUGUAACCACGUAAAACAGAUUCUAUUAAAAUCUGUAAGUUGUUAACAGUAGCUUGUUACUCAAGCUAACUGAUUCUUUAGUCUUGUAUCUAAUUUCCUUAGUAUCUGAGUUCUAUAUAUAUAAGCCUUGUAUCAUUUAUCUCUAAUAAUCAAUGAGAAUACUAUUCAGUUUA